rnacentral:rRNA from 1 species
CGAACGCUGGCGGCAGGUCUUAGGCAUGCAAGUCGAACGGAUGACAAGAGACGCUUGCUCUCUUGAAGUCAGUGGCGCACGAGUGAGUAACGCGUGGGAAACUGCCCUUCACUGGGGAAUAACGUUUGGAAACGAACGCUAAUACCGCAUACGCCCGCAAGGGGAAAGAUUUAUCGGUGAUGGAUGUGCCCGCGUUGGAUUAGCUAGUUGGUGGGGUAAUGGCCUACCAAGGCGAUGAUCCAUAGCUGGUCUGAGAGGACGAUCAGCCACGCUGGAACUGAGACACGGUCCAGACUCCUACGGGAGGCAGCAGCUAAGAAUAUUGGGCAAUGGAGGAAACUCUGACCCAGCCAAUGCCGCGUGAAUGAAGAAGGCCUUCGGGUUGUAAAGUUCUUUUAGUCAUGAAGAUGAUGACAGUAGUGACAGAAAAAGCACCGGCUAACUUCGUGCCAGCCGCUGC